rnacentral:rRNA from 1 species
GCUUACGGCCAUACCAACCUGGCUAUGCACGAUCUCGUCUGCUCUCGGAAGCUGAGCAGGUUUGGGCCUGGUUAGUACUUGGAUGGGAGCCGCCUGGGAAUACCAGGUGCUGUAAGCU